AUUGAACGCUGGAGGCAGGCCUAACACAUGCAAGUCGAACGAGUGGCGGACGGGAGAGGAAUGAAUGGGAAACAGCCUGAUGGAGGGGGAUAACGACUGGAAACGGUAGCUAAUACCGCAUACCAUAAGAUGUGGCCAGAUGGGAUUAGCUAGUUGGUGGGGUAACGGCUCACCAAGGCGACGAUCCCUAGCUGGUUUGAGAGGAUGACCAGGCACACUGGAACUGACACACUGUCCAGACUACUACUGAAGGCAGCAGUGGAGAUGAUUGCAGUAAUGGCGCAAGUCGGAUGCAGCCAUGCCGCGUGUAUGAAGAAGGCCUUCGGGUUGUAAAUUACUUUCAGCGGGGAGGCUUUACCCGCAGCAGAAGCUCCGUCGAACUCCGUGCCAGCAGCCGCGGUCUUUC
rnacentral:rRNA from 1 species